UGUGUAACAUGGCAGUGUUAUACCAUGUUAUUUAAUAUAUUCAAUACUAUAUUCAAUACUAUAUAUUCAGUAUACUGUUAUAAUUAUAAGAGGAAGACCUUAGGCAACCUUCCUCGCAUGAAUAAGCAAAUAUUUAGAGAGAUUAAAGAACCACGGGAAACGCCUAGUACCACAAACCACGCAAACAGGACAUAGUUUUGUGGUUGAUAAACACUGCUAGAACUUGCUUUGACAAACAUAUUGCGUAGAGGAAAUUAGUCAUAGUUACAGAUUUCUUCCUCUAAAAUUUAUUAUAAAAGCGGAGCACAACCUGAAAGUCGAGGGCGGAGAGUGAAGUGAGAAGAGCCAUUUAGGCUAAAAUACUUCAUAAGCCAACAAAGGCUGAAGUAUAUAAUUAAAAGGCUAGAUAAUUAAGCCUCGUCAAGUAAACGGAAGAACAUUGGAAUAUUGUGGAAUAAUUAUUAUUAAAGAAGACGGAAUACAAAGUAUAAAGAAUAAAGAUUCAAAGUUGUGCUCAGCUCAAACAAAUAGAGAGAUAAGUUGAUAUAUUAAGAUUACUAUAUUAUUAUAACAUUAUAGAGACGCUAGUUCAUAUUGUUGAAAGUAAAUAAAAUAUAUAAAAGGUAUAAGGUUUCAUGCUAUUUGUGUUACGGUAGCGUUAAUAUAAUUUGAACCCGAAGCCUAAAGGUUGAAAAUAUACCUAAUUGGAAAAUAUAUUUGACGCAUAAAUAACGCACCAUAACAGCUGGGGGCUCAGGCGGGAACCAGUAAAACCAGUCUAAACAGUUGCAUGCUCCAAAAGAAAAUUAGCAUUUCAAGUUAAAACAAAUAAAAAUUGGAAAGUCAUUUCAUUGAUAAGAUAUUAAGCGGAAUUUGAGGAAUACAUUCUGCAUGCGUCAUAGUGUUAAGUGUGAAACCAGAUACCUUAAUUGAUCUUAAUUAAAUAAGGGACCGGUCAUUAUUUAAGGCGGGGGGUGGC